rnacentral:rRNA from 1 species
AGUGAACGCUGGCGGCAGGCCUAACACAUGCAAGUCGAGCGGCAGCGGGUUCCCGCGAGGGGAUGCCGGCGAGCGGCGGACGGGUGAGGAGCACAUCGGAAUCUGCCUGGUUGUGGGGGAUAACGUAGGGAAACUUACGCUAAUACCGCAUGAGACCCUGAGUCGACGGACUGGGGGGUGAAAGUGAGGGACCUUCGGGCCUCACGCGACCAGAUGAGCCGACGUCGGAUUAGCUAGUUGGCGGGGUAACGGCCCGCCAAGGCGACGAUCCGUAGCUGGUCUGAGGAGGAUGA